rnacentral:lncRNA from 1 species
AUGGUCUCCCUGGAGGAGGUGGAUGGGGGCCAGGUGAGGGUAGAGCUACUGGAGGAGGUGGAUGGGGCCCAGGUGAGGGCAGAGCUACUGGAGGAGGUGGAUGGGGCCCAGGUGAGGGCAGAGCUACUGAUGGUCUCCCUGGAGGAGCUGGGCCAGGUGAGGGCAGAGCUACAGAUGGUCUCCCUGGAGGAGGUGGAUGGGGCCCAGGUGAGGGCAGAGCUACUGGAGGAGGUGGAUGGGGGCCAGGUGAGGGCAGAGCUACUGGAGGAGGUGGAUGGGGGCCAGGUGAGGGCAGAGCUACUGGAGGAGGUGGAUGGGGGCCAGGUGAGGGCAGAGCUACUGGAGGAGGUGGAUGGGGCCCAAGUGAGGGCAGAGCUACUGGAGCAGGUGGAUGGGGCACAGGUAAGGGUAGACCUACAGAUGGUCUCCAUGGAGGAGGUGGAUGGGGCCCAGGUGAGGGGCAGCGCUACAGAUGGUCUCCAUGGAGGAGGUGGAUGGGGCCCAGGUGAGGGCAGAGCUACUGGAGCAGGUGGAUGGGGCCCAGGUGAGGGUAGACCUACAGAUGGUCUCCAUGGAGGAGGUGGAUGGGGCCCAGGUGAGGGUAGACCUACAGAUGGUCUCCAUGGAGGAGGUGGAUGGGGCCCAGGUGAGGGUAGACCUACAGAUGGUCUCCAUGGAGGAGGUGGAUGGGGCCCAGGUGAGGGUAGACCUACAGAUGGUCUCCAUGGAGGAGGUGGAUGGGGCCCAGGUGAGGGUAGACCUACAGAUGGUCUCCAUGGAAGAGGUGGAUGGGGCCCAGGUGAGGGUAGACCUACAGAUGGUCUCCAUGGAGGAGGUGGAUGGGGCCCAGGUGAGGGUAGACCUACAGAUGGUCUCCAUGAAGGAGGUGGAUGGGGCCCAGGUGAGGGUAGACCUACAGAUGGUCUCCAUGGAGGAGGUGGAUGGGGCCCAGGUGAGGGCAGAGCUACUGGAGCAAGUGGAUGGGGCCCAGGUGAGGCGCAGAGCUACAUAAAGGCGUGGGACAUGUUGAGGGACAGAGACACUAAACUGGAGGAGCAGCAACAUGAGCUACAGUCAGCCAGGGGACAGGUGGGGUAG